AUGGUGGCUAUUUGGUUGUGAUUCAUGGCCUGUUAGUCCUGAAAACCGGGUACUUCUGGGAGGCUGUGAGGGUUGGGUACUGGGCUCUCGGGGGGCAGUCAGCUGAUCUCCGGGGUACAGCUUUAGCCUUUUCUCUUUUUGGUGUUUUUUCUGGGUUUUGUUUUAAUGGGGAUGGCGUUAGUGGUGUUUUCCGGCGAAUUUCUCCUUGGUUUGAUGGUUGUCUGCUGUGGAAGCCGGGAGGUCAUUAUGUAACUUGGUCAUUUGUAUCAUUUUAAGUUAUCCCCUUAUGUUUAGGCUUAAUAUAUUGACCAACUGCCAUGUGGUGUUAAUAUGGCUUGGGUUAACAUUACCUUAGCUUUGUCUUAUCUUGUACUUGAGGUCAUAGUCUUGAAGCCGGUUUGUGUUCAUUGUGAUAAGACUAACUUGUUUCAUCACCCGGUUAUGGUUUCUUAUUUAGCUCUUUUUACUUGCUCAUGGCUAGGCUGCUUGGAUGUAUGGCUUUCUUUUGGGAUGGAGUUGAAGUGGCUGUUCUUGGAUGCCUUGCUUUCCAUGGUUAUGCUAGAGAAAUUAUCACCCAUGUAUUCAUCUGUUAGUUGUCCAGUAUCAUGAUUAUUCACUUAUCACAUUUAUACUGGUUUACUACACCUUUUUUUUUCUACUAUGAUCAAGUUUCUUGACUUUCUGCCAUAACUUUUUUGCCAUGGUCUAUUUUGGGGUUUCAAUUACUAAUUUAUGGGUGCAUAAAAUUACCUUUUCCUUCAAACUCAGAGACCAGGGGCAACAAAGAUUUCCCAGGGUAGAGGGUGCUUAACCAGUCUGCUGCGAUUGGCACAGAUUUUGCCUUCACUGGUAGGCUGGUAACAUAGUCCCAGGUCUUUCUCUGCCUCUGUGGUGUAUAGUGGAGUGUUUCCCAUGUGGUGUUGAUAUGCUGGAUAUCCCCUUCCAAGGUGCAGGACUUUACAUUUGUCGUCAUUGAAUUGUAGCAGACACUUUUUGCUCCAUUCCUGUUGCUUGGAAAUCUGCGGUCAAGGGGUUAAAGUUACUGGGUUUAAUAAUAAUUAAUUUUCCUGUACCUCAAUACAAUCAUCAUGUAGAAUCUCUUCUCCAUAUAUUCAGCAACACUACUGCAAGAUUUCAUUUUCCCUAAUAAGUUCAGAAACACUACUGCAAGAUUUCCUUCACCCAAAAUGUUAAAAAUCAAUAAGGUUUCUUCCACCCUACUGUAAGAUUUCCUUCACCCCAACAAGUUCAGAAACACUACUGCAAGAUUUCCUUCACCCAAAAU